rnacentral:rRNA from 1 species
CAGCCGCCGCGGUAAUACGAAGGGUGCAAGCGUUAAUCGGAAUUACUGGGCGUAAAGCGUGCGUAGGCGGUUUGUUAAGUCUGUUGUGAAAUCCCCGGGCUCAACCUGGGAAUUGCAGUGGAUACUGGGUCACUAGAGUGUGGUAGAGGAUAGUGGAAUUUCCGGUGUAGCAGUGAAAUGCGUAGAGAUCGGAAGGAACAUCUGUGGCGAAGGCGACUAUCUGGGCCAACACUGACACUGAGGCACGAAAGCGUGGGGAGCAAACAGGAUUAGAUACCCCCGUAGUCCCUGUCUCUUAUAC